CUUUCUUCUUGCUUUCUCUUCGGAUACCAUUUCCGUAAUACCCUCUCACUUCUGCCGAACCAUCGUCGUCUUGCUUUUUCCGCUUUGAUCAUCUGAUUUUUCAUCUUCGGCUUCUUUCCGCAUCUGAGUACCAUAAGAUCUGAUAGGUGCCGACAAUUAGAAACAACACUUGGUGAAUCCACCAGUUAUGGAUACAAUUGAUUGGAGAGAUGAAUUGCAACCUCACUCCCGCAGAAGAGCUGUCAAAUCAAUUUCUGUUGUAGAAAUGCCAUAGGAGCUCCUGUGGGCCUGUAACUUGCAAUAUCCCUUGACUCAUUCUUGGACAACCAAAUAUUUCAUGAUUCAGUAUUCGUUAAUGAUAUCUUGAGAACAAGAAAGGAUCUAUAUUUUCCCGCACUCUUGAUAUAGGCGAAGAACAAAUGAAACCUUAGAAGAUGAAGAGAAGAUUGAAGGAUGGCUUAUUGAUGAUCAGUAUGGGGAUUUUGUAUUUCAUGAGGAAGAGGAACUGGUUCACAUAUAUCAGGAUAAAGCUUAACCUCAAAAAUCAUGCCAAACAUUUUCGCAAGUCAGGUACUUAGUAUGAUAAUUAAUGGAUGAUUAUCAUGUUUUUUGUGAUGUUUGUUGUUGCUGUUAUCAUUCUAGCGGUUUAUAUGCAUAUAUAUAUAUAUAUAUAUAUUAGUCACGACCAAUUAUAUUUUGAAUUUUUGGAAAUUGUCCACUGCAUGAACAGGAAUGCAGAAUGCUAAGUGCUAUGUCCUAUAUGCUACGGCAUAUUGGAGCCUUUAUUUUUACUUGAGGACUACUUAAUGUCCUCAGUCCUCACCUUCUUGUUGAAUUGUGGAAGAAUUGUUGUUUUGAUUUAGUAGAAUGGAUGCAGUAAAGGAAUUUCACAAUUUUGAUGAUGAGGAUGAACUGCAAGAACUUGAAAAAUUUUCUCUAAGUUUUGAGCAAAAGGCUUUUGCUGGUGCAACUAGCAGAGUAUGCUGCUCGAAGUUCAAAUCUCAAAGUUACUGGGAAAAAUCACAACUAAGAAAGGAGUCUUGGAGAAAUGUAUUCACUGUUGAAGAUCAAUGAAUUCUGACUUAACACUACAAUUCCUGAAAUCCUAACUGUCACACCCUACACUUUCAAAA